AGUGUCAGAGCUUAGGACAGCCACAUGGACGUUCCCGUCCUCUGCCUCAGGAAUGCUGUUCAGGAGGGAACAGAGGGGCUAGGAAGUGAGGGGUUCACUGCUACUUUCUUCAUCUAUUGAACUUCAGCAGUUAAUGCAUUUCUCAGGGUUUUUUUCUAGAGAGAGCUGUUUAUGGGGCACAGUCCUUUGGGAAUGGCCAUCUGAAUGGGGCCUUUCUCUUUAGCGUUAAGUGUUCGGUCUUGUGCACAUUAGGUGGUUGCUGGAAGUGAGCAUGCUUGGCUGGUUGGUGAUUUGGCUACUAGGCCAGCACCAGAGCAAGCUGAUGUCACUCACCUGGUGACGUAAUAUAUCACUGCCAUGUCCUCCUGCAGCUUGCUCACCCUUUCCAGUAUCCUUUUCUUCUUCCUCUUCUCAGACCUGAACAGCCAUUCUCUUCUCUAGGAAAGACUAUCAAAGGAAAUCGAUGGAAUCUCAGGAUUUUUGGGAACCCAGGAUCUGGCUUAUGGCAGAAGCUUCUUGCUUUUUUGUUAGAGACCCUAAGGUUUCUGUAGUAUUUUCCUAGGCUACCAGCAGGUUGGUACUCUACCCGACGGCCCUACCAUCAGGUGGUGGGAACACGGUUAUGACAGGUUCUUGCUAGGCGUCCUGUAGCUAAAUAAUCUUUAGCAGGAAAGGAAGGAUUAGGAAUGGAAGUAGAAUUCACUGUAUUUUUACCCCAAAAGUUUAUGAAAAUUUUCAAAUUUAUAAAAAAUUGGAAGAACAGAUGAUUGUAUAUUCAACAACCAGAUUCAACAGUUUUUAACAUUUCCCACAGAGUUCACCUUAGAGGAUGUGGAAAGUGAGACCUGAGUUAGGAGAAUAACCUUUUGUUGUGAGUCAGUUACCGAGUUGUUUGUGGGCCCCUCUUAACUCCACCAUCAUCAAACCCUGUGUAGGCGCCACACCCUGGGAAUCGAGCAAGACCAACAUGGUCCUUGCAUUCAGUAGCACUGAUGUGUGAGAGUCCUGGGAUGUAAAAGUGAAGCUAUAGCAGCAGCAUCUAACCUGGGGCAGGGGACUUUGUUGUUGUUGGUGGUGGUGGUGGUGGAGGUGGUGGUUGGGGAAGACUUUUUCCAGGAAAUGACAUUUACAUUAAAGUCUGCAAAAUGAGGAACCAAUGUUUCACGCUGAGGGAAAAGCGUGUGUUAAGGUGACCAAGUGAGAGAAGGGACAGUGAGUGUGAGGGCACAGAGGGGGACCAGAGGGAGAUGAGGCGAGAAAGAGACGGGGCCAGCAGCCUGCCACGUUGCACAGUUCCAGGGCUACCAUUCAUAUUGCACUCCUUUGUAUUAACACUUGUCUCUUGGGCAUGUUAACUGGACACCGAGAUUGAGCACUGUCUCCUUGGUGGUUGGUGGUUUGGCUAUUUAGACCAGCACCAGAGCACGGGUGUGUGUGACUCAUCCUCACCGUGCACUCUGUGGGGCCAGGUUCUGAAGGGUGGUGUUCCCAUUAAGGAGUCUGGACUGUGUUCUAAGGCGGUAAGUGCAUUAAAGGAUUUUAAUGAGGGGCAUGUCGUGACUAGGUUUGCUGUUGUGCUGAGGAAAUAGUGGUCGGUAGAAAUGCAUUCGAAUAAGAGGUCUGGGCUGCAGGGCCUGACUAGAGUUUUAAACCUGCCUCUCUGUGAAUUGUUCAAAUUGUCUUAGUUUCCAUUUCACCAUCAGGUACUAUUCUGAUUUGAGAAGGUAUAUAUGGGUUUAUUUUGUAAGGAGAGUAGCCGUUAAUCAGAAAAAUUAGUUGCAGGUGGUAAAAAGCAGGACUUCUUUUUGGUUAGCUAUAUGGUUCUCACUCCCAACUGCACAUUGGAAUUACCUAGAGAGCAUUUAAAAUGCUGAUGUCCAGGCCCAGCCUCAGAGAGUCUAAUGCCAUUAGUCUUAAGUGAAAUUUAGCCAGCCUUACUUUUCAAAGCUCUCCAGGUGAGUUACAUGUAUAGUCAGGAUUGAGAAGCCCUGGACCACCAUCGAGCCCUUGUUUUCUUAUUUAUUUAUGAAACAAAUUUUUAAAUUAAAAUAAAAUUUUAAAAACUAAUAAAAGCAGUUUUGUUUACUAAGUGGCUAUUUUAUGCUUGCCAUUUUACAAAUAGUCUUAAUCUUCAUCAAAUCUCCUUGGAGUCAGUAUUAUUUUCCCCAUUUUACCAAUGAAAAGCUCAGAGAAGGUAAGUGUCUUGCUCAAGGUAACAGCCAAUAUAAGGUGGAGUCAGAUUUUGAGCACAGGUCCACCUGAUUCCCGAGGCUGUGAUUUUAAUUAUGGUUGUUACCUCCCACCACUGUGGUGUUCUGCCGGGUGGAUUUCCUUGAGAAUGGAGAGACUCAUUGUUCUCAUGAUCUGUGCAGUUGCAGUACGUAGAUCUUCUACCCCGUGCAGAGAGUAUAGGAAGUGCACCCCUGCCUCCCAAGAACCUGGAACUACCUCGGAGGCUAAGAUCAGAUGUGUUUGUUAGCAGCAUGGUUUACUGUAUGAUAUGGUAGGUAAAGGUGUCAGCCAUUGUUCCAUGCAUUUUCAAACGUAUUAUUUACUUAUCAAAACAGUACUUUGGGGUGUAUGUAAUUUUUGUCCAUUAUGGGUAAGAAACUAAAGUCCAGAAAGGCCCAAAAAAACAAACACAAAACAAAAACCACAAAACUUGUUAGUGACACACAGGUAAUGGGUUUGUGUUUUUUUUAAAAAAAUAUAUUUUUUAUUUCAGAGAGGAAGGGAGAGGGAGAGAGAGGUAGAAACAGCAAUGAUGAGAGAUAAUUAUUGAUUGGCUGCCUCCUGCAUGCCCCUUAUUGGGGAUCAAGCCUGUAACCUGGGCAUGUGCCCUCACUGGGAAUCGAACCUUGACCUCCUGGUUCAUAAGUCAAUGCUUAACCACUGAGCCACGCCAGCCAGGUCAGGUAGUGGGUUUGAAAUCAGAGACCACAGUCUCAUUAUUUUGAUUUAUUAUUUUGAGCACAUAAGGAUAGAGUGACAAAUAUGGUGCCUUUAAAAACUUGCUAAUGUCAUGUGUAAAGAUGUGCUGGAUGAGGAGGACAAGGAGACUGCAGGAGUGGUUUUGAACAGUUCAUCAAAUUCCUCAAGUUGCUGCAGUGAAAACGUUUCUCUAGUUUCUUGUUACCUUGUCACCAGAGUACACAUGGCCUGUUGUUCCACUCACUUCCUACCACAUUUGUCCACCAGGAAAUACUGGGAAAAUGCUAGCAACCAUUAAUGCACCUGAGAAGGGGUUUAGGCUUGGCUAUCUGCAUCAGAACAGAUUGUCCAAAGCCACAUAAUUUCUCCACCUGUGAUAUAGGGAUUGCAGUGUAGGUAAGUAGGUCAAGAGCUUGUGUAUUUGGGAGUGCAGGAUACUUACUACCUGUGCCAUAUGAGGUUGCCAGGUCAUAAAUCGUUGUUGAAAUAACAGCUGAAGAAAUAGAAAAUCUGGGUAGAUAAGUAAAGAGAUUGAAUUAGUAAUGAACAGUAACUCAGCCCUAGCCGGUUCGGCUCAGUGGAUAGAGCGUCGGCCUGCGGACUGAAGGGUCCUGGGUUCGAUUCCAGUCAAGGGCACAGGUUGCAGGCUCGAUCCCCGGCAGGGGGUGUUCAGGAGGCAGCCGAUCAAUUGUUCUCUCUCAUCAUUGAUAAUUCUAUCUCUCCCUUUCCCUUCCUCUCUGAAAUCAAUAAAAAUAUAUUUUUAAAAAAACCUCACAAAGAAAAGCCAGGACUAGAUGGUUUCACUGAUAAAAUUCUACCAAAUAAUGUAAAGUAGAAUUAAUAUGGAAUUCUUCUCAAACCCUUACAAAAUAUAAAGGGGCACUACCAACUCAUGCUUUGAGUUGGUAUUACCCUGAUACUAACACUACGUUAGGACAUCACAAGAAAACUGCAGACCAAUAUCUUUUAUGAAUACAGAUGUAAACAUUAUCAAUAAAAUACUAGCAAACCAAAUCUAUUAACAUAUGAAAUGGAUUAUGCAUCAUGACUGAGUGUAUUUAUCCUAGGAAUUAAUGUUUGGUUUAAUAUCUGAAAAUUAAUAUGAUAUAUCAUAUUAUAAUAGAAUAAAGGACAAAAAAACAUUUGAUCAUAGCAACAGAUGUAGAAAAAAGUAUUUGACAUGAUAUAAUACCUCUUUGUGAUAUAAAAGCACUCAACAAAUCAGGACUAGAAUGGACUUCCUCAACCUGAUAAGAGGGCAUCUGUGAAGAACCCUCAGAUAAUGUACUUAAUUGUAAAAGACUGAAAUCUUUCCCCCUAAGGUCAGGAACAAGACAAGGAUUCUGUGUUUGCCAAUUGUAUUUAACACAAUUCUGGAAGUUCUAGUCAGGACAGUUAGGUAAGAAAAUAAAAACAUCAAGAUUGGAAAGGUAGAAGGAAAACUAUUUCUAUUAGCAGAUGACAUUAUCUUAUAUAUAGAAAAUUCUAAAAAAUUCACAAAAAGAACUAAUGAAUUCAGCAAGGUUGUAGGAUACAAGAUCAACAUACAAAAAUCAGUUGUAUUUCUAUAUAUUUGCAUUGAACAAUCAGAACAUGAAAGUAAGAAAUUCCAUUUACACUAUCAUCAAAAAGGAAUAAAAUACUUAGACAUAAUUUAACUAGAAACAAAACGCUUAGAAAUAAAUUUAAGAAAACUUAUACUCUGAAAGCUAUGAUAUAUUGUUGAAAAAAUUUAAAGAUCAUCUAAACAAAUGUAAAGACAUUCUGUGUCAUGAAUUGGAAAACUUAGUAUUGUUAAGAUGGUGAUACUCCUCACAUGGAUCUAUAGAUUUGAUGCAGUCCUUGUCUAUCAAAAAUCUAGCUGACUAUGCAGAAAUUGACAAACUAAUCCUAAAAUAAAAAAUUCAAGAGAAUCAGAAUAGGCAAAAUAAUCUUGAUAAAGAAGAGCAAACUUUGGAGGACUCACAGUUAUUGACAGUAUUACAGAUGUCCCCCAUUACCUCCCUUUUUGCCUUCUUCACCCAUGAGCAAUUGAUUUUUGAUAAGGGUGCCAAGACAGUUCAAUGGGGAAAGAAUUGUCUUUUCAACAAAUGGUACUGGGACAACUGGAUUUCCACAGGAAGAAUAAUGAAGUUUUUCCAACCUCACCAUACGCAAAUUUUAACGCAAAAUAGAUCAAAGAACUAAAGGUAAGAGCUAAAACUAUAAAACUCAUAGAAGAAAACAGGAUUAAUUCUUCAGGACCUUGGAUUAGGCAAUGGUUUCUUAGAUAUGAUACCAAAAACAAAAGCCACAAAAGAAAAAAAUAGAUAAAUUAGAAACUUGUACUUCAAAGGAUACCAUCAAGGAAGUGAUAAGACAACCCACAGACUGGGAGAAAAUAAAUGUAAAUUAUAUAUCUAAUAAGGGACUUGUAAUAAUUCUUUAUAUAUUCUAGAUACAACUCAAUAAUGAAAAAGAACCCAAUUAAAAAAUGGCAAAGCAUCUGAAUAGAUAUUGCCCCCAAGAAGAUAAACAGAUUGCCAAUAAACACAUUUAAAGAUGUUCAACAUCUGUAGCCAUUAGGGACAUACAGAUGAAAACCACAGCCCUGAUUGGUGUGGCUCUCUGUUGAGCAUCGUUAUAUGUGCCAAAAAGUUGCGGGUUUGAUUCCUGGUCAAGGCAUAUACCCAGGUUGUGGGUUCAAUCCCCAGUCAGGGUGGAUAUGGGAGGCAUCUGAUUGAUGUUUCUCUCACAUCAAUGUUUCUCCCACUCUCCCUCUCUCAAAAAAUCAAUACAAGCAUUAAAACCCACAGUGAGAUGUUACCUCACACCCACUUGUAUGGCUAAAAUGGAAACGACAUGAUGACAAGUGUUGUUAAGGCUGUGGAGUGAUUGGAACAUUGGAGCCCUCAUGCACUGCUGGUGGGAAUGUAAAUGGAGCAGUUGUUUUGGAAAACAUUUGGGCAGGUCUUCAAAUGGUUAAACAUAGAGUUCACCUAAUCCAGCAAUUCCAUUCCUAGGUGUAUACUCAAGAGAAAUGAAAACAUAUCUACAUAAAAACUUUUACAUAAAUGCCCAUAGGAGCAUUAUGAUCAUAGCCAAAAAAUGAAUACAACUCAAAUAAUGAGUGGAUAAACAAAUAUGAUGUAUCUUUACAGUGGAAUAUCAUUCAGCAUUAAAAAGUGAAGCAUUGAUAUGUGCUCCAAUGUGGAUGGCCCUUGAAGACAUGCUAAGUGAAAGAAGCCAGUCACAAAAGACAUAUUUUAUGAUCCCAUAUGUACCAACUGUCCAGACAGAUUGAUCUAUAGGGACAGAAAGUAGAUGAGUAGUUCUCUGAAGCUGGGCUAGGGUGGGAGUGGGGAGAGUGACUGCUAGUGGGCAAAGGGUUUCUUUUUGGGGCAGUGAAAUGUUCUAAAUUUUAUUGUGGUAAUCGCAAUCUUAACUCUGAAUAUUCUAAAAGCCAUUGAAUUACAGACUUUAAAUAGGUAAAUGGUGAUAUUGCAUGGACUAUAUCUAAGUAUUGCUAUUUUGUUAAAAUUGAUUCAAGCAUGACUUGAUCACCUUUUCUUAGCAUUAUGAAGUCAUCAGCUGACAGUCAUGGUUUCUCAUGACAGCCCAGAUGUUGGUGAGAAGUUGCAGGGAACUCUGGGAAUGGGAGUGUCCUUUUUCAGUUGAAAUCAGUAUGAUGACAAGAGGCCUUCUGGAAGGAGAGCACAGAAGGGCAGCCCUUUGCAUCCUUGGCCUCAUUCUUCCCGAGAGACUUGGGCCUCCCUCCGUGAGGUGAGACGGCGGCUGGGAGAGGGGGGAGAAAGCUCAUGGUCCCUGGUCCAGCCAGCUUGGAAGCGAGUUUGAGGCACUCCCCAUGUUUUAUAAUGUGAUCAUUGUUUUUCCUCCUUUGAAACUGGAAGAAAAUUAAUACUGUGCCAUCCAGGUUAAAAACACAUUCCUUUGCCCUAGCUGGUUUGGCUCAGUGGAUAGAGCAUCAGACUGCGGACUGAAGGGUCCCAGGUUUGAUUCCGGUCAAGGGCACAUGCCCAGGUUGCAGGCUUGAUCCCCAGUUGGGGGCAUACAGGAGGCAGCCAGUCAAUGAUUCUCUCUCAUCAUUGAUAUUUCUAUCUCUCCCUCUCCCUUCCUCUGAAAUCCAUGAAAAUAUAUUUUAAAAAAAUACUCCUCUAUUUUAAACCAACAACACAUUCCCUUGAUGAAGACACCAGUCCCUCUUGGUCUCUUCGUUGUUGGCAGAAAGAAUCUUUACGUAUUAAGGGAACUUCAUCCGUCUUAAAUUCUCUUGUUAUCAUCCAACAUGGAUGUGACUUAGGGGUUUUGUUUUGGUCCCAGGUAAGGUAGUGUUUUUCAAGGUUCUCCUUUGGAGAGUAGGUGUGUGGAGUAUUGGCAGGUUCUGAUGAGAGUAGGCAGUGAGGCUGUUUCAUUGCUGAGAGCUAAUUUUUGAGGGAAGUAGAAAUGUAUGGCUUUCUGCUGGAAUUGAGUGAAGGUGAGAAGAUGGUUAGUUUUUGAGACAGUGAAAGAGGGGGAGAAGAAGGAGAAAAAAGGCAAGAGCCUGCACUUAGCUUUGGGUUAGUUCUUUACUUUAUUUGGGUUUUGGCCCUUUUGAGAAUAUGAUGAAAGAUGCAGUUACACAGGAUUUUGCAUUCAAUUUUAGGAAGUUCAUGAACUCCUCAAAGUAGAACUGUAGACAAGAUCUUCUCAUUAACGAGACAUAUCCACAUACUAUCAGAAUGAUGGGCAGCAGUGAACUGGAGACAUGCGCAUUAGGCAGUGUUCUGAAUCUUGGCAAUUGUAAUCAGGGUAGACGAGUCAUGAACUUCAGUGUUCGGUGUUUGGGCAUACAUCAAGUUUAAUGCUUUCUGGUUUUAGAGCACUAUUGAAGUCCUCAAGUUACAUUAUUUUGGUUCUAGUGGGGUCAUAACUAACAUAAAUGGGAUUAAAAUCAUCCCAUGAGUUUAAAAGAUCAUGGUAAUGUUCACAAAUGUGACAGUCUUCCAGGCAGUUAACUAGCUGGAGUGUCCUCAGUUGAGCUUUAAGACUUGGGGACAGUCCCUGGUAUAGUUGGCAGCAGUUUGGGAGUUUAGGGAGCCGGGGCCUUCUCAUGCUGCCCAAUGAUGUGCGAACUCACUGAUGUCACUCUAUGUAAGAUGGAUGUUGCUGAGUUACCCUGUCACCUUUGUACCAGAUUCCUGCAUAAAGGGCUAGUUAGAUGAAGAUUACUGUAGGACCAGUGACUUACAACGUUUUUAAGCCUGAAAAAUGGCUUCUAUGUGUUCCACCAGUGUCCAAAGGGAGGGACAGACGGAGGUGUGAAGGGAGAUGCUGCAGAAGGGGCAUUUGUUUGAUCAUCUCUUUAUAUUAAAGCUCAUUAUGGAAAAAUCAGAAAAGGCUAAAACAAAAUGUACAAACAACUUUUUAAAAACAAAACAUUGCAUCACAUGAACAUACUGUUGUUUUUUUAAUUUUAAGUUUUUUAGAUAUGUAGAAAAAUGAGAAGAUGGCAAAUACUAGAUUCACACUAACCUUUUAAAAAUUUUGACAUAGUUUCAGACUUACAGAUAAAUUAUAAUAUAAAGAAUUCAGGGUGCUCUAUACUCAGAUUCCCAAAAAUGUUAAUGUCUUAUUACAUUUGCUUUGCCUUUUUGUUGUUGUUGUUAAUCCUCACGGGAGGAUAUUUUUUUCCAUUGAGAGAGGAUGGAAGGGAGGGAGAGAGAGAGAAAUAUCGAUUGGUUGCCUCCUGCAUGCGCCCUGACUGGGGCUGGAAGAGCAAACCUGCAACCCAACUACAUGCCCUUGGCCGGGAAUCAAACCCAAGACCCUUCCAUUCACAGGCUGAUGCUCUAACCACUGACUCGUGCUGGCAGAGCGCUUUGCCUUUUCUUCACCUCUGUGUGUGUAUCUGUGUCUCUGUCUGUCUGUAUAUUUUCCUGAACUAAGAAGCAAGUUGCCUUUCUUUAAGACGCUCCCUUUAUUCUAAAUACUUCACUUGUUUUUCCCAAACACAAGGAAUUCUCUUACAUAACCACAGCACAGUGAUCAAAACCAGGCACUUAAUAUUGAUAUCAAUACUAUUGCCUAAUUUACUAACCUUAUUCAGAUUUCAUCAGUUGUCAAAUCUGUCCUUUAUGGCAAAAGAAAAGCCCAGAUGCCAUGUUGCAUUCAGUUGUCAUGUCCUUCCUUCGAUCUGGAACCAUUCCCCAGUAUUCCUUUGUGUUUCAGUGUAGAGACCUAGUUUCUUGUUUUUGUAUCUCACAGUAUUUACUAAGCAUUUUUCCAUAUUGGUAGAUAUUGAGAGCAGUGUAGCUCUCGCUGAGUGAAUGAGCCAGGACUCUGGGCUCUGUCUGCCUGUUUCAAAUCCAGCUUUCACUACUCAAUUCCUGUGUUCUCGCUCUCUCUUUUCUUUUAAUCCUCACCUGAGGAUAUGCUUCUUGAUUUGAGAGAGAGAGAGAGAGAGAUAUGAGAGAGAACAUUGGUUGGUUGCUUCUUGUAUGCAAGAAGGCUCGAACCCACAAUCUAGGUAUGUGCCCUGACUAGGAAUCAGAUUCGCAACCUUUUGGAGUAUGGGAUGAUGCUACAACCAACUGAGCCACACUGGCCAAGGCAAAACCUAUUAAACAAGUUUUGUCCUCUUAAACAAGUUUUCUUACCUGUGAAAUGGGAAUACCAAUACUAUAACCGUAUGGGUGGUGAUAAUUAAAGGAAUGCAUAUGUGCUCAUUACUGGUACAGUGCCUGGCACAGAGUAAGCGCUCAGAAAGUGCUAGCCGUUCUCACGCCUAAGUGACACUCACAAGGGCCAUCUGCAGGUGUGUUCGCAGUAGCCGUCGUGGCUCUGUUCUCUCCUACCUUUUUCUUCAUAUCUGUCUAGGUUCAGAGAGCAAACUGGGCCGGCUUACUCAGCUGCAGGAUGGUUUAGUUGGAAAAACUGCCCUAAAGAGUGGCUCCCAAGUGCUCCCAAGUUCUUGAGCUCCUGUUGGUUGGUGACGGUUUCACUGGUCUGAGAGUAAGAACAGUGAGGAGACUUUUGAUAGAUGCCAAAUGUUUUAUUAUGACAUUACAUAUUUCUAUCUUUGGUAUUAAAAUGUUCUUUUAAAAAUGAUAUUUAUAAAAAAGUGAUAUUUAUAAAGAUGGUUGUCUUGUCAUUAUUGUAUUUUAAUGUAUUUAGUAGAUCAGAAAACCAACAAGGUAAACCUGUUAACCUCCAAAAUAUUUUUGGAGAUUUUACUGGUCCAUGACAAGCCAGUGAUCUGGGAAUUACUGCUCUAAACUAUGUGUUUGGCAUUGGGUUAUAUAUGAGCACCUGUAAACAGUAUUUCUAUCUGAAAUUCAUUCAUUUAGUCAUGGAUUGAAUGAACAUUUAUUAUUUAUUGACUCCCUCCUGAAUGCCGGACACUGUACCAGAUGCUUUACACGUCUCAUUUCAUCUUCGGAAUUAGCCGUGUGCCGUGUGUUCUCCCUGCUUCCGGCAAGGAGAGGGAAUCUCAGCUGGUAGAGCUCACCCCAAGUUAUGAAGCUGGGAGUGGCGUGGCCGCAGUUAGAACAGCUCUCCCUGCUGACAGAGGCCAUGUUUGCUCUUUUCUGUUCAGUGGUUCACAGCUGUGUGCUUCGGGUCUGGGGAAUUUUAGCAUAGCUUUCGUAGAUCCACAAGUUCAUGGGUCUCCUUUCAAUCUAGGUAUGUUGAAGGUACAAUUAUAUGUAGGUGCCUUUUU